rnacentral:miRNA from 1 species
GUGGGAAGAAAGAAUCUUGGCA